ensembl:lncRNA
CCGGAGAAAGUUUUACAUGACCCAGGGUCCAGAGAUAUAUAAAACAGGCGUACCAAGCAUGGACUGGCAAUAAAUAAUAAUUUUGCAGCCACCACAUGCAGUUCCCGGAUCCCACAUGGGGCCGGAAGCAGUUUAAGAAGCUGGGCACUAGAGCAGGGUUUCUUAAACAUCUUUGCUUUGAAACCCCUUUUUGCCCAAGAAUUUUUUACGUGAUCUUGAUAUUUAGAUCUAUAAAAUAAAUGUAGAAAUGAAACAUUCACUGAUAACUUAGAAAUUUCUUGGUAAACAUAAACUUACCAUUUAUUAAAGAUGAAAGCAAAUUUUCAUACUGAUGAGAUUGAUUAUUUUUACAUAAAUAAUUAAAUCUCGGCGGAAUAUUUAUUACCUUUUGCUGUUGCCAAAUUUUCCCGACCCUCAUAUUCGGUUCAGCUACCACAGUGGGAGGGGCAUUGGACCACAGGAUGCUUGUUUCAGUUGAACCACCAGGGGGAACUGGUGAGCGAGGCAAGCUCGGCUGUUAAUCCCUUUGCAGCCAGGGAAGCAUCUUUGGGGUCUGCUUCCCUUCUAGCUCAAACGACGUUCCUUUAAGCCCCCGCCCCUGAGUUCUGCCGUCAAGGGGAGGGAGGGACGUGGCAAGUUGCUCCCGAGCUCAGUGGCUCUUGGCACUUCGUUGCUUCGGGCUGUGAGGGGGUAUUUUCCUGGAAGUGGGGUCCUUCCCUUCUCUUGGGAGGCUCAUUAAACCAAUGAAUAAAUAAAGAAGGGGGAGAGAAAAAUAAUAACAAAACAAUUCCCAACAUCCAAAGCGCACUGGGGCUUUCCCUGCUGCACCAAAAUGAGGUCUUCUUCUCUAUUCUAGCCUCUGUCACGCUCCUUGCACCAACUGUUCAAAACCUUCCCUUUCCUCUGGGAUAGUGGCCUGAGCUUCAGAAGGAGGGAUGUUUGCAGGAAGGUAAUUUUGCAGAUGAAUAGAAACGGUUCAGUUUCACAGAUGUAGGAAGAGGAUUAGUCCCGGCCACUUACCUAGCUCAUGGGGGCAUCCGUUUUUGCAGGAGCCCAGUCCUGAUCACACACAGGGCACAUCUAACUUCACCUGGUCAUUUCCUGGCCCCCCAAAGUCCCAGCCCUCCAGCAAGUCCCUGUGUUUAGCUUUUAGCAACUGCUUUUUUGGCCUCCUGCCUUCAAGACUUGCCUCUCUUCCUUCUCACCAGCCCCCUCCCAAAGGGUCAAAGCACCAUUUGGGAGUCUGAGUAGCAGUUGGUACAGCAACUCUCCCUCCCACCCAUGAAAGUGGGACCACAGAGGAUGCCUGAGCCUGGAGUGUCCAGGCUACAUCGGAAACUCCUCUCAAACGCAAAUAAUGGGAACACUCUUGGCUCACUCUUUGUAUUUGCAGAUAUAGCGUUUAUAUUGUCUGCUGAGUAGACUUUCCAUUCCUGUCCCCCAGUGAGAAGCUGAGGGAUUUUAUCCUUCCUCCCUCUCACAGGCAGACUUCUGAGAACCAUCUACACUUGCUGCCUUCUUUAUCAGCUCCAUCGCUUGGCUAAAACUCACAAAUGAUCCCUGAAAGUUGGAAUCUGGGGAGUUUUCCUUCCCUUCUCUGUAGCAAUACAAGGACACUCUCCAGGACCCUCUGAAGAACUUUGGAAUCGGUCGUGUGACAUGGGAGACACUGACCCACCCAGCAGGAUGUGCCCUCAUCAGAGAAGGCUCUGUGCUUGUGAGAAAGCAGAAUUGCAGUAGCUCAAAAAAUAUGAGAUGCACGCAUUUAGAUGUCUCGACUCCAAGUGUUCCCCGCAGACUAUCGGCCCCUGACCUGUGAUAGAACCUGCUGGUCUCGUAUUGGUCUGAUCAGCCAUGGUUAGGCACACUCUGCCGACUCCUACAUUGUGAUAUUAUUUGGGUUAUUUGAGGAUCAAACACCAAGGAUAAGAGCCAACAAGCUUGGGACAGUGCUGGUCCACUUCCUCCUAGACAAGCUGCCAACCCUUGCUCAAGAAAGACAAAAUAGAGUUCGUUUGUAAAUGUAGGAAUGUAUACAUGUAUAGAUGAGGGCAUAGUUAGAAUGGAACUGAGGGUGGACAUAGGCAGCCGGGUUAUGAAGAGAAAAAUCACAAAGAUGGGGGAAUGUAAUCGUAGAAUAAUCUGAUCAGGUUAUCUCUGGACUACCCUGUUUUUCAGAAAGCACAUCAUGGCCUUAUCAGCUUUGGUCACUGGGCUGGGGGUGUCAAUGUGAGCCAAUCUGAAUUGCUUCUGUGACAUAGCAGGGUGAGUUCCAGGUUCAGCAAGCAAAUAAUGUGAGCAAUUUCUUGUGUGCUCAGGUUGUCUCCAGCUUAUGACUCUCGGGUUAAUCUUGCCUCCUUUGAAUAGGAGGGGAGCUCAAGUCAAUCAAGAUGGUUAGAAAAAAACAUGAACUGCUUCAGUUUUACACUGUCCCUUCAGUGUCCCUUGCUAGAGCAUCCACAAAGCUUUCCCCCAGGUGCUCGUCAUCUCUCCUAAUUUUCUUCUCCUUUGUGAUUUCGUCUGCUUCCACCAUUCAAACAUCCUUUGAUGACUCAAAUUACACAGCCAGCUCACAUCUUUCUGUCAACUCUUCCCCAUGUGGCCAACUGCCACCUUGUUCUUGAUUCAGGUGGCACCUUGAAUUUAUUUUGUACAGAACAGAGUUGAUUUUCUUUAUCUGUGAAGUCACUUUUUCUCCAAAGACACUCUUUCUGGGUGGUGGAGUCCACCCAUGAGUAUGCUUGAGUAAUGCUCAUGCUUGAGUAAAAAGGAGGUUUUGAGCAGUUGCUUCAGGGAACAUGAUAGGGGUUAAAAUCAAGAAUAAAAAAAGGAUUCAUGUGAUACCAAAACUCAAUAAGCAUUUAGUGUUUACUGUGUGCCAGAUUAGGGCAACUAGAUGGCACAGACCUGGAUAGAAGCAGAAAGACUCAUCUUCCUGAGAUGCAAUCUGACCUCUGACACUUACUAGCUGUGUGACUCUGGCUAAGUCACAUAAUUCUAUCUGCCUCAUUUCUUCAAUUUUUUAUCUGUAAAAUGAGCUGGAGGAGGAAAUGGUAAACUACUCCAGGAUCUUUGCAAAGAAAACCUAAAAUGGUGUCUGGAAGAACUGGAUGACAGAAAAUGAUCUAACAGUGUUCUAGGCACUGUGUUUAAUGUUGCAGACAGAGAAAACAAAUGUAGUCUUAGCGCCCAAAGAGCCAAUAUUCUAAUGGGAUGAUGAGGUCCUGGAUGCUGUUUUGGACAGAAAGAAACUAAAGAAUUGAUUGCUGAGGCAAGCAGGAAAAGGCACUGAUAGAGAUCUUUGCAGUCUGAAAUCCAAAUUAUGUCAAACUCCUGAGACCUACCCUCCAUAGAGGUCUUAAGCAGUCUCACCUUGCCAUGUCCUGCUAGAAAUCCCAGUCAUGUCCCUAAGGUUAAAUAUAAUGCAUACUUAUGAAAUAUAAAUACACUUUAUGUAUAUAAUUUAUAUUUAACAUAAAAUAUACUUAUGGACCAUCCCAUUGGCUGCUGCCUUCCUUUGGGUCAGCCCACCAGGAUACUCUCUGCCUUGUGGUGUCUUUCCCCUUCUCCUUCCCCCAUGCCAUGUGGUCUCUCUCCUAACUCCACUAUACUUCUUAACUGCACUUCUCCUCCUUACAGUCAUCUAACUCUUCAGGGUGCCAAGUUCCUUUCAGGAUUUACCUGCCAGCCAAGGCAAGCCACAACCUCAUGGGGUACUCCCUUUCUAUUAGGCAAUUGUGAGUUCCCCUGAGGAAGUUGUCUUUCAUAAGCUCUUUCAACUGUAUUUCAUAUUUACCAUUUCUGUUGUCUAUUGUAUCCCUUCAUUUUGUCUGUAACAUCUUCCCUAAAUUAAUCUAUCUUUUGCCAAAGAGAAUGGCCAUUGUGAAUUCUUCACAUAACCAAAGCCCACAUCAUAAAUCACAUCAGGGAGACAAUAUGUAUAAAUUGGGACACACAAGGUCAAUGAAUAGAAAGACAGACAGAUGUAUAAAGGGAAAGUAACAUUAAGAGGGAAAGUAUUUUGGGGAGUGGCCAGAGAGGGAAAGACUGUCCCACCCCUUCCAAAGAAGGUAGCACUUGAACAGCAUCUACCAGAGAUUAUGCAGAAGUGAGUCUUUUUUUGGUAUUUUUUCUGAAUUAUACAUGUAUAUUACCUUUUUAAAUACACAUUUCUCUUAAAUUGUGUUGAAAGAGAAAACUCAGAAAAGGGAAAAAUCACUGGAGAGAAAAAAAACAGAAAAAAGAAGUGAACGUAGCAUGUGUUGAUGUAUAUUCAAUCUCCAUUGUUCUUUUUCUGGAUGUGGAUGGAGUUUUCUAUCCAAAGUUUAUUGGGAUUGCCUUGGAUCACUGAGAAGAACCAAAUCUUUCAUAGCUGAUCAUCACACAAUCUUGCUGUUACUGUUAAUUCUUGGUUCUGCUUGUUUUGCUCAGCAUCAUGAACUGAGUCUUAAAGGAAGCCAGAGAUUCUUGGAGUCAGAGGUGAGAAAAUCACCACUGUGUGAGGACAAGAGAUUGUGGGAAACUGGUCAGUCAGCAAGCAUUUGUAUGAGAUUGAAAAGGUCAGGAUGGGCCAAGAUGUGAAGGGCUUUAAAUGCCAAACAAAGGACUUUAUAUCUGAUUCUGGAGGUGAUAGGGAGCCACGGGGAUUUAUUGAAUGGGAUAGAGUGGUGACAUGGUCAGACUUUACCGUUAGGAAGAUCAGCUAAAUGAAGGAUGGUUAGGAGUGAAGCCUGAGGCAGGUAAACCCACUGGUGGCCAUUGCAAUGGACCAGGUGUGAGGUAAGCCAACCAAGCAAUCAAUCAACUAAUACUUAAUAAGCACCUACUAUGUUCUCAGGGAGAGAAGGGGGCAUGUUGGAAAGAUGCUUCAGAGGUGAAAUCCACCAGAGACGCUGCAGAGGUGAAAUCCACCAGAGACGCUGCAGAGGUGAUACUGACCAGUGGUGCAGCACAGGUGAAAUCUACCAGAAAUGAUAUUUACCAGAGACAAUGCAGAGGUGAAAUCCACCAGAGACGCUGCAGAGGUGAUACUGACCAGUGGUGCAGCACAGGUGAAAUCUACCAGAAAUGAUAUUUACCAGAGACAAUGCAGAGGUGAAAUCCACCAGAGGUGCUGCAUAGAUGAAAUCUACCAGAACGCGGCAGAAAUGACAUCUAGCAGAGCCGCUGGAAAGAUUUAAGACGUGAGAAAGUUGCGAGGCCUGAGAGGACCCAACACUGCGGGACCUUGCGAAUGCCACAAACGACGCUGGCCGACAGCAGUGAUGAAAUUCUGUGGGUCAGUGAGCUGUAGAACUCCACGAUGGAAACUACCCCACCCCCACCCCUCCGCAGUUGCACCUCUAAACCAUAUCAACCCAAUCUUUGUUUCUCUUUCCUGGGAAAUGAUCUCCCGGAUUCUGCCUCUUCGCCAAACCCUUUUGGAACUUUAGCCCUUUGCCAAGCAGCGGAAUUUCUUCUUGCUUCUGCCUCUUUGCUAGAUUUCCUCAGAACUCAGUUACAAUCAUCCCCUGGAUUCUGACUGCUCGGUCCCCCGGAGUCAGCCCGCUGCGAGCAGCGUAACGAACCUUUGCCCCUUAACCCGGAGACAGACGAAGUGUGCGAUUCCCUCGCCAAGCCUAGGACACCGACCGAAGGGUUGUGUUGCGGGUAUGUCUUCCUCCUCAACAAGACGGAGCCCCCGAGGUGCCGGGGAGCUGGAACCGGCGGGCCUAGCACCGUCUUGGAUGGGGGGGGGGGGUUGCGAGAGUAAGGGGGCUGGCGACUCCCAGGAUGACUCCCAGGGAUCCCGGAGCGCUGCGGCGAUCGGGCUACUUUUGGGAGGGGAUGACAAGUCCUGUUUCGGACGAGGGCAGUUUGAGAUGUCUGCGGGUGCAACUGGGGCGGCGAGAGGUCGGGGCUGGGUUGGCCGGUGCGGGCGUCAUUCGCAGGGAGGAGGUGGGGGGCGGGUGGGAGCCCCCGGCAUCUCCAGCACGUCCCACAGGCAGGAAAGCCAGCGGGGGAAGCCGAGCAUCUCCCUUGGUGGCUGGACCGCCCGUCCGGGGGGAGGCGGUGGCUCGGGCCCCAGAGGAGCGCCGUCCCAAGGAGAAGGGGGUGCUCGGGAGGCGGUGAGAUCCCCGUCCCCGGCGGGAUUCCAGGCCCUUUCCGGGCCCGGCAUUUCCCACUGGCUCCUCUCAGGCCCGAGGCGAGCAGGGGUCGGCGCAUGCGCAACAGUGGCCGCCCGAGGCAUCCGCGAGAACGGCAAACUGCGCAGGCGCGAUUCUGCCGCGAACAUCCGGGCUCGGUCGGGGGCGGGGCGGAACUCAGAGUGGCGGAAGCGGAAGUUGCCCCGCCCCCGCCGGCUGUUGCGGGGAAGGACCCUGCGUACGCCUGCGCAGCGUAGACGCGCCGCGCGCCGGGGGCGGGGCCGGGGGCGGGGCCGGGCGGGCGGUCAGUCAGCUGACGGCAACGGCGGAGGAGGAAGAGGAGGAGGAGGAGGAGGAGGAGACGCGGGUGUUCGGGUCCCAGGUCCCGGCGGGGAGCGGGCGACGCGGCCAUGGCGACCACCGUCAGCACCCAGCGGGGCCCGGCGAAGCUGGCCAAGAACUACGGCGUGACCCGGAUGGACCCGUACUGCCGCAUCCGGCUGGGCUACGCGGUGUACGAGACGGCGACCGCCCACAACGGCGCCAAGAACCCGCGGUGGAACAAGGUGAUUCAGUGCACGGUCCCCCCCAGCGUGGACUCUUUCUACCUGGAGAUCUUCGAUGAGCGCGCCUUCUCCAUGGAUGACCGCAUCGCAUGGACCCACAUCACCAUUCCCGAGUCCCUCAAACAGGGGAAAGUGGAGGACGAGUGGUACAGCUUGAGUGGAAGGCAGGGCGACGACAAAGAAGGGAUGAUUAACUUGGUCAUGUCCUACACGUCUCUGCCGACCGCCAUGAUGAUGCAGCCUCAGCCUGUGGUCCUGAUGCCCACGGUGUACCAGCAGGGGGUGGGCUACGUGCCCAUUACAGGGAUGCCCGCGGUCUGCGGCCCGGGGGUGAUGCCCUUGGCGGUGGCCCCCCCAGUGCUCAGCCCCCAGCCCCCGUGCAGUGAAGAAGAUCUGAAAGCCAUCCAGGACAUGUUCCCCAACAUGGACAGAGAAGUGAUCCGCUCGGUGCUGGAAGCCCAGAGGGGAAACCGCGAGGCCGCUAUCAACUCCCUGCUUCAGAUUGGGGAGGAGUCAUAGGGCCUUCCCUGGGGGCCACGGCCCCUCACUGCCCCCGCUCCUCCACCCGCCCCGUCCCCGGGCCCUCGUGUCCCCAGCUGCAGGCUCUCUUCGGUCACUUUGCAGAUGCAUGUGGGUCUUUCCAGUUAAUUGCCGUCUGUGCUGUUCUGUAGAGGUGGGAGAAGCGUCCUCUGUAUUUAUUCCCUCCCUGUGCCCUUCCCGGGGGCCACGGGGUCAGCGCCCUCCACCUCUGGCCCGGGGCGCUCCGUUACCCCCUGCCCUGGGCCGGAGAGGGGAAGCCCGCCCCGCCCCCAUCCCCGCCCCUUCCCGGGCUCUGCCCCUGGCAUGGCAGUGCCCGGCUCUGGCUCCCGAGGGUCCUCGCCUGUCACAAGGCCCGCCCCCCAGCCCGGAAGCAUGCCGCUUUGGGGAUCCGCCUCGGCCGGCGGAGAGCCCCCUUCCCGCUCCUACCGUCUCCUGCUGCUUUACUACUGAGGGGGCCGGAGCCCCCCGCCCUCAGCCAUGCCCAGGUCGGCCCCUUCCCUGUGGACAGGGCAGCCGCCCCUUCUGUGGGAGGGCGCGUCUGGGGGCACCCAGAAGUUGCGCACUUUAUGGCGGCCCGGCCUCUGUGCCGGGCCUCGGGGGAGAGGGGGAGUGGCUGGCCUCAGGCCUGGGAGGCCCUGGCUGCUCCCUGUCCCCCUCCGAGAACACCCCGUUCCCUGCUCAACGGGCUGUUGACUAUCAGAUCUGUUGCGUCUGGCGCGCGCUGGCGAUGGCGCAGCGGCGUCGGUCUCAGGACAGGACCAAAUGCUUUUGUGGAGCUUUUUUUUCAUAGCAGGGAAGGCAGUAGCCCCCCUCCCCUCCAGCCCCUCGUAAAAAGCGCUGAGAUUUCCUUUGAGGGCCAGAGCCUGGCCCCGAGUCACCACCUGGAGGACAGCCUGAAGAACAGGCGGCUGUGCCCUUGUCUGAGGCGGGGGCUGCCCUCCCUGCAGGGGCUGGGCCCGGGCACUCCCCUACAUGGGGCUCCCUGGGCCUGGGGUCGGUAGCAGCUUGGGAGGCAGAGACUGCGCCAUGAUGGGGCCCAGGAAGGACUUGGAGAAGGGUGAUGGGCUCUGCUCGCCGGGGCCUCCCGGGGCCCUUCCUGCCUCUGUGGGGAUGACCGGGGUCCUCAAGCGCUGCUUCGUGGCUGGGGUUCGGUGUCUGCAGUUUUUCUCUCAUUGUCACAUACGUUUUGGUCUAAUUUAAUAAAUGAUCAUCUACACGAAUACGAACA